GUCCUGAAGGAACGUUGAAGACGACGACGUUGAUAGGCCGGGUGUGUAAGCGCAGCGAUGCGUUGAGCUAACCGGUACUAAUGAACCGUGAGGCUUAACCUUACAACACCGAAG
rnacentral:rRNA from 1 species